rnacentral:rRNA from 1 species
CGCAGGGCGGGUGCUAUACAUGCAGUCGAGCGAAGAGAUGGGAGCUUGCUCCCUGAUCUUAGCGGCGGACGGGUGAGUAACACGUGGGCAACCUGCCCUGCAGACUGGGAUAACUCCGGGAAACCGGAGCUAAUACCGGGUAAUACAUCGCACCGCAUGGUGCAAUGUUGAAAGUUGGCUUUCUGAGCUAACACUGCAGGAUGGGCCCGCGGCGCAUUAGCUAGUUGGUAAGGUAAUGGCUUACCAAGGCGACGAUGCGUAGCCGACCUGAGAGGGUGAUCGGCCACACUGGGACUGAGACACGGCCCAGACUCCUACGGGAGGCAGCAGUAGGGAAUCUUCCGCAAUGGACGAAAGUCUGACGGAGCAACGCCGCGUGAGUGACGAAGGCCUUCGGGUCGUAAAGCUCUGUUGUUAGGGAAGAACAAGUACCGUUCGAAUAGGGCGGUACCUUGACGGUACCUAACCAGAAAGCCACGGCUAACUACGUGCCAGCAGCCGCGGUAAUACGUAGGUGGCAAGCGUUGUCCGGAAUUAUUGGGCGUAAAGCGCGCGCAGGCGGUCUUUUAAGUCUGAUGUGAAAGCCCACGGCUCAACCGUGGAGGGUCAUUGGAAACUGGAGGACUUGAGUGCAGAAGAGGAGAGUGGAAUUCCACGUGUAGCGGUGAAAUGCGUAGAUAUGUGGAGGAACACCAGUGGCGAAGGCGGCUCUCUGGUCUGUAACUGACGCUGAGGCGCGAAAGCGUGGGGAGCAAACAGGAUUAGAUACCCUGGUAGUCCACGCCGUAAACGAUGAGUGCUAGGUGUUGGGGGGUUCCACCCUCAGUGCUGAAGUUAACACAUUAAGCACUCCGCCUGGGGAGUACGACCGCAAGGUUGAAACUCAAAGGAAUUGACGGGGGCCCGCACAAGCAGUGGAGCAUGUGGUUUAAUUCGAAGCAACGCGAAGAACCUUACCAGGUCUUGACAUCCUCUGACAUCCUGGAGACAGGACGUUCCCCUUCGGGGGACAGAGUGACAGGUGGUGCAUGGUUGUCGUCAGCUCGUGUCGUGAGAUGUUGGGUAGUCCCGCACGAGCGCAACCCUUGAUCUUAGUUGCCAGCAUUAGUUGGGC